GACUUAUCUUCCUACCUCGGGCUGUUUUUGUUGCCCUCAUUUCGAUUGAUUUGCUGGCACUUUAUCGUCCCAAUGAAAUGAGAUCUGCCAGCAGCAGUCAGCAGCAAGGAGGAGGUUCAAUAUGUCAAGAAACAAUAAAGAAGACGACGAAGAUGAACUGGAAGCUUUGCGUUUGGCUGCCGUCGAAAGUUUUAGGGCUAAGGGAAUUCCUCCACCUGUUGUGUUGAAAGGCCAUCAUUUGUCCCUCAUACACAAUGUUUGCAGUAAUGCAGUCUUUCAGUGUCAUUUUGACAAUUAAAAUUUGAUAGCCAGCAUUCCAGUAGAGAACAAUUCUGCGAGUUCCUCACCUGACCUCACCUCACCUCAAGAAUCCAUCACCCUCCAUUACUUGAUUUGAAACCUCCACCCAUGAUGAGUAAUUCAUCGAGACCAAAUCUGAUGUGAUCACCUAACUCUGCUGGUUGUGGAUUAAACUUUGCUGUGGAUGGAGCGGAUUUGAGCCAUUUUGGAUUCCUGGCUGUGGAUGUACCAGGCAUAAAGGUAUGACAAAUUCAUUUCUUAGCUUUUAUUAUGUAUAUUACAUAGCGAUUAAGUUAUUUACAAACUGAGACAAAUGUGAAAUGUAAUAUUACAAAAGUGAACUUUUAAUAACGA